GUCUGCCAUGUUUUGUCCUAUUUGUCGCGCUUGAUCAACGCAUCCGCGUUUUACUGUUUCAAGCUGGUAUUUUCUGAAUGUGUUACGAGCUGUGCUUUGUUUACUAAUAGUAAUUUGUGGUGUUGUAAUUAUAGUGUUAAAUUCUAGAUCUAUCGAUAAUUUUGCUACCUCUACGACAGUGUAAUUCGUAUUUCACCAAUUUUUAGAUUCAUCAUCUAGCUUGCUGCUGCUUGCAGUUAAAGAAAUUCCGCCGUGGUUUCUAUAACAUUUGCAUUUACCACAGUGUGUCUACAUUUAGUAGAAUUUGCCUAUGACGCAACCCACGUGCACAUAAUACAGCGAGAAUCUCAUGCACAUUUGUUAUUAUUUUGUUCGUGCGUUCGAUUUGUCGAGUAGGUACUUAGUCGGCAUCGGUUCGACGAAGUGAAAUCGCGUCCGCGCUCGGAGCAUUGUCUCGUCGGACAGUCCGAUUACGUAUUGAAAUAUUGACUGUGAUUAUCUGAGUGAAUUAUUCUGUUUGGUGUGGCAUUCGGUUUGUGCAAAGUGCACAGCACACGUGACUCAAGCACGGGACGACUGUUUGGGUGUCAGUCGGUUGCGGUCCGCGAACGCACGCCACAGUCCGCUGCAGUGCGAAGCGCGCGACUUUCGAGGUGAAUCACCGCUCCCGUGUGAUCGUGCUUGUUUACCUACGAGUGCAUAAGUGCGUGUAUUUUUAGCGGAAGUGUAAGGCAUGUGCGUUGUUUCCCGCCGAUGACAUCGCCGGCUACGGCGGCGUUUCCGAUCGCGAGUGUGUGCUAGUUAUGCUCCUUGGGUUAUGAGUGUGUGACAAAAUAAUAGUGUAAGGAACCUGGAGCCCCUAGACGGAGUUGGGCCCGCCGGGGCGGCCCUGGUGCUUCUCGGGGCUCCGCACGAAGGCAAAAUGGCUGCGUGGAAUCGCCACCACCACUUUAACAUGCUGAUGGAUGAGAAUGCCAAAAAUAAAUUGGGCGUGGUGGGCGGCGGUAUGCCCGAGGCGUCCAGCGCCGACAGGCGGCACGGUCCCCUCUACGGGCGGCUGGUCGCCGAAGACCAACUGGCCUCGAUGAGCGCGCCCUCAGACAUUCAGGUGAGCGCGACCACGCGCAACCCCCGAGCUUUCUGCCGCUACCCUACCUCCGCACAGGCUAUGCAAGCCCGAAUACCCCACCACUUUCGUGACCCAUCGACUGCGCCACUUAGAAAGCUGAGUGUAGACCUCAUCAAAACCUACAAACACAUAAACGAGGUGUACUACGCGAAGAAGAAGCGGAGAGCGCAACAGUACCUGGGCGAGGAUGGGUCGCACAAAAAGGAGAGGAAACUGUACAACGACGGGUACGACGAUGACAACCACGACUACAUCAUCAAGCAGGGUGAGAAGUUCCUCGACCGGUACGAGAUAUCCUCGCCGAUCGGCAAAGGAUCCUUCGGACAGGUUGUGAAGGCGUAUGACCACGAGGAGCAAUGUCAAGUAGCGAUUAAAAUAAUUAAGAAUAAGAAACCCUUCCUAAAUCAGGCACAAAUAGAAGUCAAGUUACUAGAAAUGAUGAACAGAGCGGACGCAGAAAAUAAGUAUUAUAUAGUGAAACUGAAGCGUCACUUCAUGUGGCGGAACCACCUGUGCCUAGUGUUCGAGCUGCUCUCGUACAACCUGUACGACCUGCUGAGGAACACCAACUUCAGGGGCGUGUCGCUGAACCUCACGAGGAAGUUCGCCCAGCAGCUGUGCACGGCGCUGCUGUUCCUUAGUCAACCUGAACUUAAUAUAAUUCACUGUGAUCUUAAGCCUGAGAAUAUUUUACUAUGCAAUCCGAAAAGGUCGGCCAUUAAAAUAGUGGACUUCGGCAGUUCAUGUCAACUAGGUCAAAGGAUAUACCAAUACAUACAGUCAAGGUUUUACCGCUCACCAGAAGUGCUCCUGGGCAUUCCGUACGACCUGGCAAUAGACAUGUGGUCGCUCGGCUGCAUACUGGUGGAGAUGCACACGGGGGAACCACUGUUCAGCGGUUCUAACGAGCAGGACCAGAUGAACAAGAUCGUCGAAGUCCUGGGAAUGCCGCCUGACCAUUUACUGGACCAGGCUCACAAAACCAGAAAGUUCUUCGACAAACUACCAGCGUCAGAGGGCGGAGGUUACGUGCUUAAGAAAGUGAAUAAUACGGGGAAAGAUGGAGUCGUGGCCCGCAAGUACCGCGUGGCGGGCUCGCGGCGGCUGCACGACAUCCUGGGCGUGGAGGGCGGCGGGCCGGCCGCGCGCCGCCGCGGGGAGCCCGGACACUCCGUCUCCGACUACCUCAAGUUCAAGGACCUGAUCAUGCGCAUGCUCGAGUACGACCCGAAGAAGCGUGUGACGCCGUACUACGCGCUACAGCACAACUUCUUCAAGCGCACAGCGGACGAGAGCACCAACACCCAACAGCAACAUUCUCAUGAUGGUCCGUCGGACCCGCGAUGACUAGAGCGGUCCGGGGCGCCCGCCUCGAGACACUAACGCCGGCUCGGGCCGGACUAAGACAGUGGGUGGCGGCGCCGCGCCCGUGGGCCGCCUGUGGGGCGCCAGCGAGCGCAUGGAGGUGGAG
rnacentral:misc_RNA from 1 species